rnacentral:lncRNA from 10 species
CUGCGGAGGGGGCGAGGCUGCGGAGGGGGCGAGGCUGCGGAGGGGGCACGUCGGCGGGAGAGCACAGCGACAAGCCCCGGCACACCCGCAGGCCCUUGAACCAGAGGGACGAGUCGGAGUUUGGCUGGGGCAGUCAGGGGAGAGCCGGGGCCGCCAGCAGCCCAACUCCAGGGGAAAACCGUCUCCCUUCUGGCUCCCCCAUGGGCUGAGAGCUAUAAAUAAAACUCAAUAAAACCUUAAUAAAACUCAAUAAAACGUUACACUUAUUCUCCAAG